rnacentral:rRNA from 1 species
GUAUGCGAUCAUAGCAGCACUAAAGCACCGGAUCCCAUCAGAACUCCGAAGUUGAGCGUGCUUGGGCGAGAGUAGUACUAGGAUGGGUGACCUCCUGGGAAGUCCUCGUGUUGCAUUCC